rnacentral:sRNA from 1 species
CCAUAGCCCUGAUGGGAGUGGCAUCCUCGCCGCAUCGCGGAGAGAUAUAACGGACAGCAGGAAAAAGG